rnacentral:rRNA from 1 species
GACGAACGCUGGCGGCGUGCCUAAUACAUGCAAGUCGAGCGAAGUUUUUCUGGUGCUUGCACUAGAAAAACUUAGCGGCGAACGGGUGAGUAACACGUAAAGAACCUGCCUCAUAGACUGGGACAACUAUUGGAAACGAUAGCUAAUACCGGAUAACAGUAUUUCUCGCAUGAGAGAUAUUUAAAAGUUGGUUAUGCUAACACUAUGAGAUGGCUUUGCGGUGCAUUAGCUAGUUGGUGGGGUAAAGGCCCACCAAGGCGACGAUGCAUAGCCGACCUGAGAGGGUGAUCGGCCACACUGGGACUGAGACCCGGCCCAGACUCCUACGGGAGGCAGCAGUAGGGAAUCUUCCGCAAUGGGCGAAAGCCUAACGGAGCAACGCCGCGUGAGUGAAGAAGGAUUUCGGUUCGUAAAGCUCUGUUGUUAGGGAAGAAUGGAUAUGUAGUAACUAUACAUGUAAGAGACGGUACCUAACCAGAAAGCCACGGCUAACUACGUG